rnacentral:rRNA from 1 species
GCUCAGGAGGAACGCUGGCGGCGUGCCCUAAUACAUGCAAGUUGAGCGCUGAAGGUUGGUACCUGUACGAACUGGAUGAGCAGCGAAGGGGUGAGUAACGCGUGGGGAAUCUGCCUUUGAGCGGGGGACCACAUUUGGAAACGAAUGCUAAUACCGCAUAAAAACUUUAAACACAAGUUUUAAGUUUGAAAGAUGCAAUUGCAUCACUCAAAGAUGAUCCCGCGUUGUAUUAGCUAGUUGGUGAGGUAAAGGCUCACCAAGGCGAUGAUACAUAGCCGACCUGAGAGGGUGAUCGGCCACAUUGGGACUGAGACACGGCCCAAACUCCUACGGGAGGCAGCAGUAGGGAAUCUUCGGCAAUGGACGAAAGUCUGACCGAGCAACGCCGCGUGAGUGAAGAAGGUUUUCGGAUCGUAAAACUCUGUUGGUAGAGAAGAACGUUGGUGAGAGUGGAAAGCUCAUCAAGUGACGGUAACUACCCAGAAAGGGACGGCUAACUACGUGCCAGCAGCCGCGGUAAUACGUAGGUCCCGAGCGUUGUCCGGAUUUAUUGGGCGUAAAGCGAGCGCAGGUGGUUUAUUAAGUCUGGUGUAAAAGGCAGUGGCUCAACCAUUGUAUGCAUUGGAAACUGGUAGACUUGAGUGCAGGAGAGGAGAGUGGAAUUCCAUGUGUAGCGGUGAAAUGCGUAGAUAUAUGGAGGAACACCGGUGGCGAAAGCGGCUCUCUGGCCUGUAACUGACACUGAGGCUCGAAAGCGUGGGGAGCAAACAGGAUUAGAUACCCUGGUAGUCCACGCCGUAAACGAUGAGUGCUAGAUGUAGGGAGCUAUAAGUUCUCUGUAUCGCAUCUAACGCAAUA